rnacentral:rRNA from 1 species
GACGUAGGGCGCGAGCGUUGUCCGGAUUUAUUGGGCGUAAAGAGCUCGUAGGCGGCUUGUCGCGUCGUCUGUGAAAACCCGCGGCUCAACGGCGGGCUUGCAGUCGAUACGGGCAGGCUGGAGUUCGGUAGGGGAGACUGGAAUUCCUGGUGUAGCGGUGAAAUGCGCAGAUAUCAGGAGGAACACCGAUGGCGAAGGCAGGUCUCUGGGCCACUACUGACGCUGAGAAGCGAAAGCAUGGGGAGCGAACAGG